rfam:Curtobacterium luteum strain NS184 contig_51, whole genome shotgun sequence.
UCUGAUCCGCGGAUCGGGACUCCCAGCCGUGGUGCCCUGACGUCACUUCCCCGACGUCAGGUCGCAUGGAUGGGGAUCCGGACCCGCGGCCCGGAAGGC